UCCCGGUUAACCCGGGCAGUCUCAUUAGAGUUCCCACCUUAAAUGUUGGCAACUAAUGAUAAGGGUUGCGCUCGUUGCGGGACUUAACCCAACACCUCACGGCACGAGCUGACGACAGCCAUGCAGCACCUGUGCAGCAGUCCCGAAGGAAGACGCUAUCUCUAGCGCUGUCUACUGCAUGUCAAGCCUGGGUAAGGUUCUUCGCGUUGCAUCGAAUUAAACCACAUGCUCCACUGCUUGUGCGGGUCCCCGUCAAUUCUUUUGAGUUUCAGCCUUGCGACUGUACUCCCCAGGCGGUAUACUUAACGCGUUAGCUACGGCACAAUCGGGGUUGAUUCCGACUACACCAAGUAUACAUAGUUUACGGCAAGGACUAC
rnacentral:misc_RNA from 1 species